rnacentral:tRNA from 1 species
GCAUUGGAGGUUCAGUGGUAGAAUUCUUGGCCUUCACGCUGGAGACCCAGGGUUCAAUUCCCAGCCAGUGCA